GCCUGGGUGGCUCAGUCAGUUAAGCGUCUGACUUCGGCUCAGGUCAUGAUCUCACAGCUUGUGGGUUCAAGCCCCACAUGAGGCU
rnacentral:tRNA from 1 species